rnacentral:rRNA from 1 species
AGAGGGAGCCUGAGAAACGGCUACCACAUCCAAGGAAGGCAGCAGGCGCGCAAAUUACCCAAUCCCGAUACGGGGAGGUAGUGACAAUAAAUACUGAUACGGGGCUCUUUUGGGUCUCGUAAUUGGAAUGAGAACAAUUUAAAUCCCUUAACGAGGAACAAUUGGAGGGCAAGUCUGGUGCCAGCAGCCGCGGUAAUUCCAGCUCCAAUAGCGUAUAUUAAAGUUGUUGCAGUUAAAAAGCUCGUAGUUGAACCUUGGGUCUGGCUGGCCGGUCCGCCUCACCGCGAGUACUGGUCCGGCUGGACCUUUCCUUCUGGGGAACCCCAUGGCCUUCACUGGCUGUGGGGGGAACCAGGACUUUUACUGUGAAAAAAUUAGAGUGUUCAAAGCAGGCCUUUGCUCGAAUACAUUAGCAUGGAAUAAUAGAAUAGGACGUGCGGUUCUAUUUUGUUGGUUUCUAGGACCGCCGUAAUGAUUAAUAGGGAUAGUCGGGGGCGUCAGUAUUCAGCUGUCAGAGGUGAAAUUCUUGGAUUUGCUGAAGACUAACUACUGCGAAAGCAUUCGCCAAGGAUGUUUUCAUUAAUCAGGGAACGAAAGUUAGGGGAUCGAAGACGAUCAGAUACCGUCGUAGUCUUAACCAUAAACUAUGCCGACUAGGGAUCGGACGGGACUCUAUGAUGACCC